rnacentral:rRNA from 1 species
AUUGAACGCUGGCGGCAUGCCUUACACAUGCAAGUCGAACGACAGCACGGGAGCAAUCCUGGUGGCGAGUGGCGAACGGGUGAGUAAUAUAUCGGAACGUGCCCGAGUCGUGGGGGAUAACGUAGCGAAAGCUACGCUAAUACCGCAUACGAUCUAUGGAUGAAAGCGGGGGAUCGCAAGACCUCGCGCGAUUGGAGCGGCCGAUAUCAGAUUAGGUAGUUGGUGGGGUAAAAGCCUACCAAGCCUUCGAUCUGUAGCUGGUCUGAGAGGACGACCAGCCACACUGGAACUGAGACACGGUCCAGACUCCUACGGGAGGCAGCAGUGGGGAAUUUUUGGACAAUGGGCGCAAGCCUGAUCCAGCAAUGCCGCGUGCAGGAUGAAGGCCUUACGGUUGUAACGUUAGCG